UAGAGUUUGAUCAUGGCUCAGGACGAACGCUGGCGGCGUGCCUAAUACAUGCAAGUCGAACGAACUCUGGUAUUGAUUGGUGCUUGCAUCAUGAUUUACAUUUGAGUGAGUGGCGAACUGGUGAGUAACACGUGGGAAACCUGCCCAGAAGCGGGGGAUAACACCUGGAAACAGAUGCUAAUACCGCAUAACAACUUGGACCGCAUGGUCCGAGCUUGAAAGAUGGCUUCGGCUAUCACUUUUGGAUGGUCCCGCGGCGUAUUAGCUAGAUGGUGGGGUAACGGCUCACCAUGGCAAUGAUACGUAGCCGACCUGAGAGGGUAAUCGGCCACAUUGGGACUGAGACACGGCCCAAACUCCUACGGGAGGCAGCAGUAGGGAAUCUUCCACAAUGGACGAAAGUCUGAUGGAGCAACGCCGCGUGAGUGAAGAAGGGUUUCGGCUCGUAAAACUCUGUUGUUAAAGAAGAACAUAUCUGAGAGUAACUGUUCAGGUAUUGACGGUAUUUAACCAGAAAGCCACGGCUAACUACGUGCCAGCAGCCGCGGUAAUACGUAGGUGGCAAGCGUUGUCCGGAUUUAUUGGGCGUAAAGCGAGCGCAGGCGGUUUUUUAAGUCUGAUGUGAAAGCCUUCGGCUCAACCGAAGAAGUGCAUCGGAAACUGGGAAACUUGAGUGCAGAAGAGGACAGUGGAACUCCAUGUGUAGCGGUGAAAUGCGUAGAUAUAUGGAAGAACACCAGUGGCGAAGGCGGCUGUCUGGUCUGUAACUGACGCUGAGGCUCGAAAGUAUGGGUAGCAAACAGGAUUAGAUACCCUGGUAGUCCAUACCGUAAACGAUGAAUGCUAAGUGUUGGAGGGUUUCCGCCCUUCAGUGCUGCAGCUAACGCAUUAAGCAUUCCGCCUGGGGAGUACGGCCGCAAGGCUGAAACUCAAAGGAAUUGACGGGGGCCCGCACAAGCGGUGGAGCAUGUGGUUUAAUUCGAAGCUACGCGAAGAACCUUACCAGGUCUUGACAUACUAUGCAAAUCUAAGAGAUUAGACGUUCCCUUCGGGGACAUGGAUACAGGUGGUGCAUGGUUGUCGUCAGCUCGUGUCGUGAGAUGUUGGGUUAAGUCCCGCAACGAGCGCAACCCUUAUUAUCAGUUGCCAGCAUUAAGUUGGGCACUCUGGUGAGACUGCCGGUGACAAACCGGAGGAAGGUGGGGAUGACGUCAAAUCAUCAUGCCCCUUAUGACCUGGGCUACACACGUGCUACAAUGGAUGGUACAACGAGUUGCGAACUCGCGAGAGUAAGCUAAUCUCUUAAAGCCAUUCUCAGUUCGGAUUGUAGGCUGCAACUCGCCUACAUGAAGUCGGAAUCGCUAGUAAUCGCGGAUCAGCAUGCCGCGGUGAAUACGUUCCCGGGCCUUGUACACACCGCCCGUCACACCAUGAGAGUUUGUAACACCCAAAGUCGGUGGGGUAACCUUUUAGGAACCAGCCGCCUAAGGUGGGACAGAUGAUUAGGGUGAAGUCGUAACAAGGUAGCCGUAGGAGAACCUGCGGUUGGAUCACCUCCUUA
rnacentral:rRNA from 2 species